CUCCUAUCUGCACACAAAACUAGUUGAUGGCUCCCUCCAUUAAUUAUGACUCCCAAUAUGUAAUGAAAGAUGCUGAAAGCUACAAUUUAGAAACCGAGAUAACUUUGAAUGAGGUUGAUUAGAGAUUACUUGAAGUACUUUUGGACCAAAACUAGCUAAUCCAAGGUUCGCUUUUAAGUAUUAUGUGAUGAGUGGUGAUAGUGGAUUUCUAUUGAUUACUGCUCCAAUUGGAGAGGGCUUAGUUAUGAAUUUUCCUUGUGGAUCUUUCGGGAUUGAUAUAACCAAGAUAUUGCUCUUUAUGAU